ensembl:lncRNA LINC00454 long intergenic non-protein coding RNA 454
UGAGGGGACGCACGCGGGGACGCUGGGGGACGUGGGGGCGCCGAGGGACUUGGAGGGCGCCGAGGGACGUGGGGGCGCUGAGGGACGUUGGGGGUGCUGAGGGGACGCCCGCAGGGGCCGCUGAGGGACGUGGGAGUGUUGAGACACAGACACAGGAAGCAUCAACUCUGAGGCUUUGGCCAGGAUGUGAGCCCGACUUUCGCAGCCCCAACUGGCAGGCUGACCUCAUGUGAACUCCCUGGCGAUGGCAUCCUGGAGACACCCACAUGGCUGAGCUGGCACCAUAGGUGAGGCCACUUCCUGCGAAGGUAGCUGGAUGCUCCUGCCUGGAGCUGCCCCCGGACCACAGAGCAUCCAGGAGAUGAAUGCACUUCCAGCCCCGCCACCCUGGGGAGAUAUACAGCUGAGGUGGCAGCUUUGGAGCAAGCAGGGCAGAGAUGCUUCCCCCUGAGGUCCCUCCCAGCUCUGCUACCUUGUCACUCAAGCACUCAUAAUCCAGGUUCAGUUUCUGCCAGCACUAAUUUGGUUUAUUCCACAUGGCUGGAGCCACUGCGGGACUCCAUUUGUUCCGGGGCCACCUUCCUGUCACCUUUUACUGUUUCUUGAGUCAGCAAGAAAGGCAGAUCCGACUGAAGACUCCAGCACUCUCCUCAGCUGCAGCCCCCACAGAGCUCCGCGAAGUCCUUUCUCCCACAGGACAGAUCUGAGGCACCCACCAUUAGAAGAAAGGAGUGGAGAAAUGAUAUGCAGGAAGAAGGCCCAUUCUGAUUCACCAAUCGCAUGGACGCACUUUCCUACCAGGCUAGGAGGGAGGAAAGUAGAGCCCCACCCUGACUGCUAAGCCGUUUGCUUUGGUGUCAUGAAAAAAGAGUUCAGCUUCCCAAAUCAGAGAGGAAAAGGUUUUCAAGGGGUCCCCUAUUUCUAUUAUGUAAGCUUUAAAUGACAAAGUGGACCUCUGGGGCCAACGUGGGUGUGUGAUGGUGGUUUUGUGGGAUUCUCCCCAUAGCCCCAUCAGACGGCCUCACCUUCUGGGUCUCAGUGGCCCCAGGUGCAACACGGCUCCUCCAGAAAUGAUGACAGCCCUGGCGACCAAGGACUCCCUGUGCCACUGGGUUUGCGCUCAGAAGUAUAUUCAAUGAUUUCCCCAGAAAAUUCCAAGUCAUCUCCUAAUACUGUUUGUGAAAACUAAAUGAACUGUCGUGGUCUUCUUCAGGGACAGUUUGCUAGGAAGGGUGGUUAUUGGCAUAAUUUUCCAAAUCAAUGAACUAAGUUACAAAACUUUCUCAAAGACCCUGAUGGCUGUUACAAAGACAGAAAAGUGAAUGGUCA